CAUAGCAUUCCACUGACAGUGGAGUGGUCAGUUAAGCCGCCUCAUGACUAUUUACUUGCUGGCUGCCAUGAUGGAAUGGUGGCUUUGUGGAAAUUUUGUACAAAUUCUUCAUCAAAAUGCGAGGAUUCAAAGCCCGUGCUUUGUUUUGGUGCGGAUACAGUUCCUAUUAGAACUGUUGCCUGGGCUCCAUUUGAAGGGUUAGU